GACGGAGGAUGCAAGUGUUAUCCGGAAUCACUGGGCGUAAAGCGUCUGUAGGUGGUUUAAUAAGUCAACUGUUAAAUCUUGAGGCUCAACCUCAAAAUCGCAGUCGAAACUAUUAGACUAGAGGAUAGUAGGGGUAAAGGGAAUUUCCAGUGGAGCGGUGAAAUGCGUAGAGAUUGGAAAGAACACCGAUGGCGAAGGCACUUUACUGGGCUAUUACUAACACUGAGAGAAGAAAGCUAGGGUAGCAAAUGGG
rnacentral:rRNA from 1 species